UACGUAGGGGGCAAGCGUUGUCCGGAUUUAUUGGGCGUAAAGAGCGUGUAGGCGGCCGUACAGGUCAGCUGUGAAAACUGGAGGCUUAACCUCCAGACGUCGACGGAAACCGCGUGGCUAGAGUCCGGAAGAGGAGAGUGGAAUUCCUGGUGUAGCGGUGAAAUGCGCAGAUAUCAGGAAGAACACCAAUGGCGAAGGCAGCUCUCUGGGACGGUACUGACGCUGAGACGCGAAAGCGUGGGGAGCGAACAGG
rnacentral:rRNA from 1 species